rnacentral:rRNA from 1 species
GAACGCUGGCGGCGUGGAUUAGGCAUGCAAGUCGAACGGUAUGGACCUUUCGGGGUUCAGAGAGUGGCGAACGGGUGAGUAACACGUAGGUAAUCUACCCUCAAGACGGGGACAACCCAGGGAAACUUGGGCUAAUACCGGAUGUGUGUAGUGGCUAUUUUCUGUAUUAUCAUUAUUUACGUAAGUGAGUAAUAAUAAGAAGGGAAAGUGGUUAUUACAUAAAAGGUGGCGUAAGCUGCCGCUUGGGGAUGAGCCUGCGUCCUAUUAGUUAGUUGGUGAGGUAACGGCUUACCAAGGCGAUGAUAGGUAGGCGGCCUUAACGGGUGGUCGCCCACACUGGGAUUGAGAUACGGCCCAGACUCCUACGGGAGGCAGCAGUCGAGAAUAGUCUACAAUGGACGGAAGUCUGAUAGUGCGACGCCGCGUGAACGAAGAAUCCCUUCGGGGUGUAAAGUUCUUUUAUACGUGAGCAGUGUCCUUUAUAUUAAUAGUAUAAGGGGAGAGAUAUUAGCGUAUGAAUAAGCAACGGCUAACUCCGUG